CCUACGGGAGGCAGCAGUGGGGAAUAUUGCACAAUGGGGGAAACCCUGAUGCAGCGACGCCGCGUGAGUGAAGAAGUAUUUCGGUAUGUAAAGCUCUAUCAGCAGGGAAGAAAUAAAGUCCUUCGGACUUUGGACGGUACCUGACUAAGAAGCCCCGGCUAAGUACGUGCCAGCAGCCGCGGUAAUACGUAGGGGGCAAGCGUAACCCGGAUUAACUGGGUGUAAAGGGAGGGUAGACGGCAGCGCAAGUGUGGAGUGAAAUCCCAUGGCUUAACCAUGGAAGUGCUUUGGAAACUGGGCAGCGGGAGUGCAGGAGAGGUAAGCGGAAUUCCUAGUGUAGCGGUGAAAUGCGUAGAUAUUAGGAGGAACACCAGUGGCGAGGGCGGCUUACUGGACUGUAACUGACGUUGAGGCUCGAAAGCGUGGGGAGCAAACAGGAUUAGAUACCCCUGGUAGUC
rnacentral:rRNA from 1 species